rnacentral:rRNA from 1 species
GAUGAACGCUAGCUACAGGCUUAACACAUGCAAGUCGAGGGGCAGCAUGGUCUUAGCUUGCUAAGGCCGAUGGCGACCGGCGCACGGGUGAGUAACACGUAUCCAACCUGCCGUCUACUCUUGGACAGCCUUCUGAAAGGAAGAUUAAUACAAGAUGGCAUCAUGAGUCCGCAUGUUCACAUGAUUAAAGGUAUUCCGGUAGACGAUGGGGAUGCGUUCCAUUAGAUAGUAGGCGGGGUAACGGCCCACCUAGUCUUCGAUGGAUAGGGGUUCUGAGAGGAAGGUCCCCCACAUUGGAACUGAGACACGGUCCAAACUCCUACGGGAGGCAGCAGUGUGGAAUAUUGGUCAAUGGGCGCAGGCCUGAACCAGCCAAGUAGCGUGAAGUAUGACUGCCCUAUGGGUUGUAAACUUCUUUUAUAAAGGAAUAAAGUCGGGUAUGUAUACCCGUUUGCAUGUACUUUAUGAAUAAGGAUCGGCUAACUCCGUG